rnacentral:rRNA from 1 species
CACGUAGGGUGCGAGCGUUGUCCGGAAUUACUGGGCGUAAAGAGCUCGUAGGUGGUUUGUCGCGUUGUUCGUGAAAUCUCACGGCUUAACUGUGAGCGUGCGGGCGAUACGGGCAGACUUGAGUACUGCAGGGGAGACUGGAAUUCCUGGUGUAGCGGUGGAAUGCGCAGAUAUCAGGAGGAACACCGGUGGCGAAGGCGGGUCUCUGGGCCGAAAUUGACGCUGAGGAGCGAAAGCGUGGGGAGCAAACAGG